UACGAAGGUGGCAAGCGUUGUUCGGAUUUACUGGGCGUAAAGGGAGCGUAGGUGGUUAGGUAAGCCCUCCGGGAAAUCUUCAGGCUUAACCUGAAAAGGUCGGGGGGGACUGCCUAGCUAGAGGGCGGGAGAGGAGCGCGGAAUUCCCGGUGUAGCGGUGAAAUGCGUAGAUAUCUGGAGGAACACCGGUGGCGAAGGCGGCAUCCUGGACCGAUAUUGACGCUGAUGCGCGAAAGCGUGGGGAGCAAACAGG
rnacentral:rRNA from 1 species